CACAAUAUAAGGAGAUGUACUUUGGCUCAACUGAUAAUUCGGUAGAGUCGGGUCGUACUUGAAUAUCCAGACAUAACUAUCCAAACUUUAGCGAAGAUCUCACUUGUGUAUAAGAAUGCAUUAUUUAGGGGUGACGGCCUUCUCUGUGUUCGUCAUACUGAACCACGAGUUUUACGGUGUAUUCGGUGGCCAAACAUGUGAAACAAUACCAGACAUCGCCUGCCCUCAAACCAUUUCCGAGCACACCGGGGAAUUAGUGCAGCCUCUUCCCAAGUAUCUAACUCGUGAUCAUCCUGAAUAUGAAGUCAGAACACCACCGGCGAUGAGAGAUAAAGUCAACCUAUACUGCGCAC